GGACUGUGCUUUGACGUUGAGCUUGUCGUGACGCUAAAGAAGAUAAUUCUCUCUGAGAUCACAGUGUGACCGCGAAUUAAUUGAUAAAUUGCGCUCGUGGAAUGAAAGAGACAAGAAUUUACACAAACAAAAUGCAUUUGUUUUCCUCGUUUGCUUUAUGCGUUGAUUUUGUUCACUUCUGUACAAGAUCUAAUCGCUGGAAGAGUCUUUUGUGUGAACAUUUGUUAAAAAAGUGAGAAAAGAAAUGAAUAAAUUAUAACUAUAACAAGAAAUGAAUAAAUUAACAAAAUAAAUCAAAUUAAUAUAAACAGAUCAAUUGAAAGCAGUGGUCCAAAUUUUAGCGGAUCAAACUGUUUUAAUAAAGCAGCUGGUAAGGGGGAAUUGAAUCCCAUUCGGGGACAGUUCCCAAUAAAACGUGAGGAAGAGCUUAUAGAACUGGAAGAAAAAAAUUAAAUUAAAUAGGGACAUUUAUAUAACCGAAAUGAAAUCAAUUCUCCAGCCAGCUGGCGUUUUGAGCGGCUUGAACUUUAUUUUGAGUGAGGACAUUGUUCUGGCAUAUAACGUCGAUGGGGUCCAAGGGAAGAAGGCCCUUAGGACCCACAAAGAAUUUUUUGCAGCUUUGCUAGAAUGUAUUCCGCCUGGCGAUGAGCCCCCCGAAAACACUGUACGGAAGGCAAUGCAAAGGAUGAAGAAAAGGGUGUUUAAAAAGAAGUGUCUUGCCAAAAACCAGGAGUAGGCUAAGCAUCAUAUAAUUAAAAAUUAUUCGUUAUAUUGAAA